UCUCCAGUCAAGAGCACAGAGUGGAGGGCAAUGAUGGAUCUGCCGGUUUUAUAUUGUGAUGAAAUGCUACCCCCCAAGAUGGGAUCUGAGUGGGGCUGCUCUUUCGAACACAUUAGCCUGCUAAUUUAAGAAAAUUGAAAGGCUCUACAAGGUGCAGAGUACUUUCUAAUCCUGAAGGCUGCCCCAGUGGGGUUUGGUGCACUGCCACCUUCCUUUAGAGCUGCCAAACGAGGUGGGCAAUUAAAACUGUGAGCUGCUUUCUGGAGAGAAAUGCAGAAGGCCAGUUGGGUUUUACACUUCCUCUUUCUGUCUCUGCGUGACCAGAUCUUCAAAAUGCCUCAAUGAUUCCUCUUUUCUGAAUGCCACAGAAUCAUCUCAAUGGCAAAAAGCAGCUUUGGUUGGGUCCCCCACGUCAGUUUGAUAUCCUCAGUGUCACAUUCCCUGGGAAGACUUGCAGGCAUGAGACUUGGAGAUGUGCUCAUAAAAGCUAUGAUGAUAACCAA